rnacentral:rRNA from 1 species
AACGAACGCUGGCGGCAUGCCUAACACAUGCAAGUCGAACGAGACCUUCGGGUCUAGUGGCGCACGGGUUCGUAACGCGUGGGAACCUGCCCUUAGGUUCGGCAUAACUCCCCGAAAGGGGUGCUAAUACCGGAUAAUGUCUUCGGCCCAAAGAUUUAUCGCCUUUGGAUGGGCCCGCGUUGGAUUAGCUAGUUGGUAGGGUAAAAGCCUACCAAGGCGACGAUCCAUAGCUGGUCUGAGAGGAUGAUCAGCCACACUGGGACUGAGACACGGCCCAGACUCCUACGGGAGGCAGCAGUGGGGAAUAGUGGACAGUGGGCGAAAGCCUGAUCCAGCUAUGCCGCGUGAGUGAUGAAGGCCUUAGGGUUGUAAAGCUCUUUUACCCGGGAUGAUAAUGACAGUACCGGGAGAAUAAGCUCCGGCUAACUCCGUG